GGAUUGCGUUGUGUAGUAUUCUAUUGUGAUUGGUAUGACACGACCCCAGAUAGAGGAGUGAAGAUUGACGCGUUUGGUGUUACAUCAGUCCAUUCGCGGCGGAAACUUCAAUAUUAUGAUCCCUUCAUUCUUGGUUCGCAAGCUGAUCAGGUGUGCUACAUCAGUUACCCUCGGGUGACGUACAGAGAUGAUCCAUGGGUUACUGUAACGCAAAUCAACCCAAGAGGACGAGUGGAUGGAACUUCUGAUGAUGAUGAACCAUUGCAACCAGAGUCUACCAGCAACGCCCAGGCAGUUGAAGAUUUGGAAAAUGUUCAACUCGUUGAGAAUUUGACUGUGUUUGGACAUGAUGCUGUCGUACAUUCAGAGCCGGAAGCCGAGGUUGGGGAGUUUGAUGAAGAUU